rnacentral:misc_RNA from 1 species
UUAUUCUCAAACUCACACUUGUUGUAAUGACCUGUUGUGGGCUUUGGAUGUGGGGACUACUGGACUCCAUUAACUUGGAGGUCGGUUUCCCUUAAAUGCAUUAGUGGUUUGUCGGGCCCCAGCUCUUGGUGUAUGUUUAGGUUUUUUAACAGCUGCACCUUAUACAGUCUGGCUAGUCCAUGCUAUGGCGACUGCUUUCUAACUGUCUUUCGGGACAACUAGUAACA